AUCCUUUCUGGUUCAUAAAGUUUGAUGAUUGGGUUCACGCCAUUGCAUGAUAUGUGCCGCCUACAAACCUUGUUAUGACAUGGGCACAUUACCUGUCUGACG